AUGAGCUUCAUAGCGACCAGUCCAUCUAUGCCUGAUAGAAAAGAAGGAUGUUUAGAUCUUCGCUUUGAGCAAUCCUUCUUUUUUGUUCUCGCUACCUUGUGACACCACGUGGAGCCUCGCUUGCGUUUGCCUCCGACAGCAGCGUGAUUUUGCUGCUGCUGGGCUUGGAUUUGCUGCUGCUGCUGCUGCUGCUGAAUUCCUAGUCUAUCGGUGAGAUUGAGCGCGAGGCCAGCGUCAUCUUCUAGCUUUAGGCUCGGUGAGGGGGAAUUAGCGAGUGGAUUCCAGGAGGAGCUGCAUCUUCGGAGACCCAAUGCGUGGAAAUGGCGACCCAGAUUCUCAAUUUCUGAUUUUGGGGAGGAAGCAAGGCGCUAGAACCGAUCAACUGGAUGCUAAGAUCGAGAGGAAUGAACGAGAGGAGGGAGGAGAAAAGAGAAGGAGAAGGAUGAUACAAUCUAAGCGAGGAGGACUAUAUGUAGCCUCGUUCACGCGCGAACGAGGCCGAGGCGCUCUUUUGUCUGGGCGAAGGCAACAGAGCAAACAGGGAGGAAGAAAACACAAUUAAAGGGAGGAAAGGAAAGAAAGAACGAAGGAAUGAGGGAGUGGCGAUGGGCUCACCAAUGCCGGCCUAAGAGGACAAGAGGAUUCAUCAUACCCGCCGGGGCCGAGGUCGCCAGAGUUUGUCCACUCCGCGGCGCAAAAAGAAUUUCGGGGCAACCUUGCUGGGAUCAAAACCAUCCAAGCCUCAAAACAAAAGAGCCACGCCUUGCUUGUGCGA